rnacentral:rRNA from 1 species
UACGUAGGGUGCAAGCGUUAUCCGGAAUUAUUGGGCGUACAGAGCUCGUAGGCGGUUUGUCGCGUCUGCUGUGAAAACCGGAGGCUCAACCUCCGGCCUGCAGUGGGUACGGGCAAACUAGAGUGCGGUAGGGGAGAUUGGAAUUCCUGGUGUAGCGGUGAAAUGCGCAGAUAUCAGGAGGAACACCGAUGGCGAAGGCAGGUCUCUGGGCAUUAACUGACGCUGAGGAGCGAAAGCGUGGGGAGCGAACAGG